AUUGAACGCUGGCGGCAGGCCUAACACAUGCAAGUCGAGCGGAGCGGCGGACGGGUGAGUGAUGCCUAGGAAUGGGACUGUUGGUGAGGGAUGAGGAUAAGGAACGGGCGCUGAUGCCGCAUCCGAUCAGCAGAGCAUAGGUCGGAUUAGGUAGUUGGUGGGGUAAAGGCCUACAAAGGCGACGAUCCGUAACUGGUGUGAGAGGAUGAUCAGUCACACUGGAACUGAGACACGGUCCAGACUCCUACGGGAGGAAGCAGUGGGGAAUAUUGGACAAUGGGCGAAAGCCUGAUCCAGCCAUGCCGCGUGUGUGAAGAAGGUCUUCGGAUUGUAAAGCACUUUAAGUUGGGAGGCGUUACCAACAGAAUAAGCACCGGCUAACUUCGUGCCAGCCGCCGCGGUAAUAC
rnacentral:rRNA from 1 species